rfam:Sulfitobacter sp. CB2047 contig_1, whole genome shotgun sequence.
GUUACUGUAGCGCGGGUUGUAGUUGAUAAACGCAUAUCCGCGCGCCUGGUCGAUGACGUGGAACAAGGGGUUCCAGUCGAACAUGGCCAGCAUGAAGGACGGCAGCGAAUUGGCCAGAAACAUCUUGCCCGAGGCGAUCAUAUUCGCCCGCUG